rnacentral:sRNA from 1 species
CUUUUAAAAUAAAGCAGAUAGCAUAAAUAUACAAU